CUUCAACGACCCGAGCCAGAGCGGCUGUUCGGCCGGUCGGCCCUGCCCGUAGGUGGCCAGCACCGCCUGCGCCUC
rnacentral:antisense_RNA from 1 species